UCACCAUGGAGAGACUGACGAAAUCUUCCAACAAUCCAAUUCACUUCGUGCUGGUUCCAUUCAUGUCUCCCGGACAUAUGAAUCCAAUGGUAGACCUGGGAAAAUUACUCGCCGAACGUGGCAUGAAUGCGACGAUCAUCACCACACCUCAAAAUGCGUUGCGGUUCAAGUCAACCGCCGACCACGCUUUGCAAACUGGACUCCCUCUGAAGUUCCACGAACUCGACGUGUUUCCUUUGAUAGAAGACGGCGGACAACAGAAGAAGUGCGACAACUUGGAUUCCUUGGUUUCUGCUGAAGCCAUGAUGAAGUUCUUCAAGAUAGCUGAUUUAUUGGAGGAACCCUUGAUGGAAUACUUGAAAAACGAGAAGUGUCGUCUUCCACUUUGCAUCAUCUCCGAUUGGAUUUUCUUGUGGGCUUCCAAGCUUGCAACGGAGCUUAACAUUCCGAGAUUCGUUUUCUACUGCAUGCCCUGUUUCACACUUGCAUGUACUGAGAUUCUGACUACUACUUGGGAAGGGGAUCAAAUUGUAGUGCCGGAGAUUCCUCAUCGGAUCGAGCUGGUUCGAGAGCAAGCAAACGUAUUUUUUUAUGGAGACGCUGAGCUUCAAAAACUAUGGAAGAAAGGAGAUUCCGUUUCGGAUGGGAUAAUAGUGAACACUUGCAUGGGUAUCGAACCCACUUACGUCGAUAUCUAUCGGAGAAGAAAAGGUAAAAAUAUAUGGACCGUCGGACCAGUUGGGAUGUGCAACAGAGAUAUGGCUGAUAAAGCUACCCGUGGUUUGAAAUCAUCAUCCAUCAGCGCGACAGAAAUUUCGACAUUCCUCGAUUCCAUGGAUCCAAAAUCCGUGAUCUACGUUUGCUUUGGAACUCUGUCUUGCACAUCGUCGGAGCAAGUGAUCGAGAUAUGUUUGGGGCUAAUGGAUUCUGCUCAUCCUUUCAUCUUGGUCAUUCAGCCCAAAACUAACUCCGUCGAGAUCGAGUCAUGGAUGGAGAGUAAUAGAUUUGAAGAGAGGAACAAAGACACUGGACUUGUCAUCAGAGGAUGGGCUCCACAAGUGAUGAUACUCUCCCAUCCGUCCGUCGGUGGAUUCGUGACGCACUGCGGCUGGAAUUCUACGUUGGAAGGCAUAUCUGCCGGCCUUCCGAUGGUGACAUGGCCGAGCUUUUCAGACCAAUUCUUGAAUGAGAGGUUCAUCGUGGAUGUGUUGGAAAUAGGGGUUAUGGUCGGUGUGAAGGACCCUGUUUGGUGGUGGGAGGAAGUUGUGUCUGUGAAAAGGGAGAAGUUCCUUAAGGCUGUGAAAGAGUUGAUGGGUGACGGGGAGGAGGCCGUGAUGAGGAGAAGGAAAGCUUUGAAGCUCAAAAAAAUGGCGGAUGAAUCCAUGGAUAUUGAUGGGUCUUCAACGAAUCAAUUGAAUGCGUUGAUUCAACACGUUGUUGAGCUCUAUGAAGAGAAGAAGACUGUGUAACUGAUCUGAGCAUUGAAUCGAUUUGAAAUCAAAAUAAUUGAACUGGUUAUGAAAUUUAGAACGAUGUUUGAUAAAUGAUAAGCUCUAAAUCUCUCCAAAUUUUUGAUAUUUCUGGAUUUAAAUUUUAAAAAAGAAAAUCAAAUUUAAUAUUUAUUAAAUUAUCAGAGGCAGGUUUCGAUCUUCCUAGGACCUGUGGAUUAUGAGCCCACCAAGCUUCCACUAAGCCACUCUCGUAUAUUAUUAUAUUUUUCUUUAUUACAACGAUUCAAAACAGAGUCUUUUACAUUUUUAUUAAAAAAACAAUCUACUUGUUGAUUUUUGAUUAGUAUAGCAAGUUUUUCAUUGGAAAUGUGUCCAAGCUUGUUAUGCCAGACUUUAGAAUCUAUUGAGGCAUAUGCAAAUCCAGGGGGAGUAGAGCUGUACAGAUAAAACCCAUCUUGACAUCUACCCUUUCCAAUCACUCACCCUGACCUGCAUCCUUGAAAUUGACAAUUUUUAUCAUCAAAUAAUAUUUUUAGAUUGUUGUCUAGAGUUAGGUUGCUUACUGAUAUUAAAUUCACUUUGAAUUGUGGUAUAUAUAGGACAUCCUCUAGAAUUAUAUUUUUGGAAAGUGUUAUCCUUCUUGUGGAUUUGGUUCUACAUAUCUCGCCACUUGGAAUGGUGACAAAAUGUACUAUUUUCUGUUGGUGGUUUAUCAAAAUACUGAAGAUUUCCAGUCAUGUGUUGGGAAGCUCCAAUAUCUAUGAUCUAUUCUGUUUUGAGAUCUAUCACAUUAUAUAAAUGGUUUAUUUUAAAAUUUAAAAUAUUAAAAGAGUAUUUCAUACCAUUUGAUUGGAAGAAAUCUUUGAGCAUGAGCAGCUCUUCAUUGGACAUCCUUAGUACGACAGAUGUUGAGGAGGAAACUUAAUUGGCUGAUUCAGUUUUAACCUUUUUAAACCUGUUUCCUUUCUUGGUAUUUUCUUUAUUUUUGUCACUAGAGAACCCUACAAUGUGAAAACAGUCCUUCCUAGUAUGCCCAUAAUACUUGAAGUUAUCACAGUAUUUGGAGGUGCCCAACUUCUUUUCACUCUUACUAUAGAGCCCUUUUUCUUCUUCUUUUUCAUUAGACUUUUUGGCAAACAAGGCAGAAAACUCUAUGCUGAACUUAUCAUCCUUAUCUCUAAAAUUUGUCUUCUAUUUUUCUUCUUGAAUGAUUAGGUAAAAUAACUUGUUCAUGUUUGGUAGUUCAUCAUAAAAGAGUAUCUGCCCUCUUAUUGUUUUAAAAUCCUCAUUCAGUCCUAGUUGGAACUGAUGGAUUUUAUCCUUUUCCAUUUUAUCAUUGUACUUGGGGGUGCAUGUGUUACAAAAAUCUACAUCUUCUAGCUCUAUCUUUUGAUUCCAUAAAACUUUGAAUUUAUCAUAAAAAGUUGUAACACUAUCAUUACCUUGAUGCAAGUUAUUUAAUUCAUACCUGAUUUGGUUAACCUUGGGUGCAUUUCCUUGGUUAUACCUUUCUUGAAGAUCCUUCCAUGCUAUGCUUGCUUUUUCAGUGUGUAUUAGCGUGGAUGAGAUCUGAGGAUCACGCUGUUAACUAUCCAUGAUAGCACUAACCUGUUUACAGUCUCCCAAGCCUCGAAUUCUUUCCCUGACUUGUCCUCUGGCUUCUUUAUUUUUCCAUUCACAAAUGCGAUUUUCCUCCUGGAAAGCAAUGACAGUUUCAUCGCAUUGGCCCAGCUUGCAUAAUUCUAUUCACCUUUCAACUUGUCUGCAACCAUGAGUGCUCCUAGGUGGUCGCAUGAGUUUAGAUAGUAAACUGAUUCUCUGUCAUUUAUUGCAGAGACAUAGGCAUAUGAUCUUUUGGACUUGGAGCGGUGACACUUGUGAUGAGAUUUGCGCUGGUGUUUGGAGGAAGAAUGAAUUUUACGAGGUGGAGAUUGCAUGAUUGACGGGGGAGAAGAGGGCGCAGAGCUUGACUGCGAUUGAUCGUCCCUGUCUGGAGAACCAGUAAAUUCUUCAUCAUCUUUACUUGCGGAAGCAUGGUCGGAUUUUCCAGCAGAUACCAUGUUAAAACGUGGGUCGAUCUCAGACGGCAACUUUGGGGAGAAAUGUGCGAAGUUUGGGAGUCGGAGCUCGUCGGACGGUGAGAAAUCAAAAGAAGAGGGAAGAGUUUAGGGUUAUUCGCAUAGCCUAACUCUUUCAAUACGUUAUUACUGUAGAAGUGUAAUUAACAGUAAUCUCGUGUAAUUAGCAUGUAAUUGAAUUGAAUACUUUUGAGUAAUUACAUACCAAUAUUUAACAAAGAUUAAGACAAAGGUUAACAGUUUAACUGACUAUUAGCUAAUACUAAUAUCAACUGAUUAACUACUUUUCUUUAAUUUCUUUGCUACUGGACUUAUUAUUGAAGACGGCCCAAGUCCUUUAUUUCUUUGGCCCGCUCGUGAUAUUUAAGUGGCACAAUUGCAGCUUCGUCCUCGUACUAUUUAAGUGGCACAACUGCAGCUUCGCCCCUAUACUAUUUAUUUCGUUUUCUUUGAGAAACCUGCAUACAUUCAAAGUUAAAUUUAUUUACAUAUUAGUCUAUCUGUUUAUUAUUAAGACAGAUUAUACUAAUUACUUCUUUCCAUCAUCCUUACUAGUAGUAGUGUCGGUAGAAUCCAAAUGAACAGAAAAACCAAUUUGCGACGCAUAACCAUAAUAUGUAUCAACAAUUUAUGAAUAUGAAGAAAAAAGUUGGCCAACAUAGGGUGGUGACUUCACAUUACGAUCUUCUGAACAAGCAUUGGUAUUGGUGGUUGGUUUGGAAAUGAAAAAAUUAGGUGAAACAUUGUCGGUACAAUUAAUAGCAUUAGAGAUUACGAUUACAUCAUUAUUCUUAGAAGAAUUAAGAGUCUGAAGAAUGCCUUCUGGAGUUUCGUGACAAUGAUGAAGACCAUUGAUUGUGUGAUAAGUAGCAUUGAGACUGACAGACAAAUCAUCAUUUUUUGAAUAUUCAGCAUUACAAUCACGUCCAAUGAGCAAUGAUAAUCCAUGACAACAUUGGAGAAUAUAAUCAAAAGUUUUUUCAGGUUGGAUAGAAUAAAAAUCAAGACUCACAUUACAAGGGGGUCUGGUACGUUCUAUCGGAGGAUUCAAUGGUUGAGCAUGAACAAGACGAUAUGGGGGUGGGGUGAUAUAUAUUGAGGAAGAAUUAAGAGAGAAGUGAAUGGUGUUUUGGGGUUGAAUGAUAUUUUGUGAUAAAGGUGAUGAUUGAUCAAUAACAUUUAAUAAAUUUUGAGACAUACCUUGAUGUUAUGAAUAGAAAAAAUCAAAAAAGAAAUAUUGUAGACAAAAAACGAAGAAAAGUAGCCUAGAUUGAGGGGAGGAAAAUGAGAUGAAGAUGAAGUGCUCUAUGAAUAACUUAAGAUGGGAAGAAGGUGGAAGAUGAAUAAAGAAUGAAAUGAAAGAAGAGCUAAGAUAAAAAGAUAAAACUAUUAUACAAUUUGAUAUAUUUUCAAAAAUUGAGCAUUAACAAUUAUAAAAGAAGCAUUAUUUUACUGACGUAUAAGCAUCGAUAAAGCAAAUACCAAUGAAAGGACGAUAUAGAUGUAAAGGUAAAAGAAGAGGGAUGAUUAAUGUCAAAAACAUUUAAUGAUGAAAAGAUUGUGACAAAAACAACAAGAAGUAAAAAAAAGAAAAUGAAAAAAAGAAGAUAUGAGGGAGAGAGAAAGAUGAAUAAAAAUUUUAAAAAAAAAACUACACGUAAUAAGAAAUAUUUUUCACCGGUUGUAGGGAUCUGGAUGUAUUUGACGAUUUUGGAAGGUUGAGAUGCCUUCUCAUUGUCAGAAAAUGAAAAGGCCUUCUCACCUGAUUUUUUUUGUAUAACAAUAAAAUAAAAAUUAGACUGUUAUUACAUAUACAAUUUUAUUAGGCUAGUUAGUCUUCCACGCAUACUUUCGAGACAGUGGAGGAAUUAUUGUUAUGAAAAGUUGACUUAAGUAAUGAUUUUUUAACUCAAAUUAUGUACCACAUGUCCACAUGUCAAUCAUCACCACAUAAUCCUGACAAAAAUUAUAAAAUUCAAUGAUGUCAAUAUCAUAGUUUGGUUAUCUCAAGGCCACCAGCAUGUUGUUUGCAUCUUUUAUUUUUUUAUGUCUAUAUAUGCCACGAUAGACACCUAAUGACAUUUCAUAAUAACUCUCAAGGAGGAGAGUGGUGUAUAAUUUUUUGCGCAUCUUCCGUCAGAUUCCCAAUUUAAUGUCUGAAUGGAGUGAAAACUGAAAUAUUUAUUAUUUUUCAAAAGACAAAAUUCAGGUGUUCAGCCAGCGAAAUUAAGAAAGAUCUGAAAUAAUAGCAGUUGAAAAAACUUUGACUUCUAGAUUCAUCUUUCAAAUUGCAUAAUAAGCAACACAUGAGGUAUUUGCACUUUUCAACUUAAUUUUCUGAACGUGUUUAGAUAAUCUCAUUUCACCUCUGACAAAAGAAUAUUAAAUUUUGUCGACAUCUCCAACCAAAUUCUCUUAGCUAACAUGCCUUUAUGCUUUCUAUCUCUAAUACUUUCUACCACUCUCUCCAACUUGCUUAUCGGAGUACCAGAUCUCCACAUAAUCGUAUUAUUGAUCAACCCUACAAUCCAAACAUUUAUCCACUAGAUUCCUUUUUGAGAUAAAAGUUUUUCAGAAAUGCGAAUUCACAGUAUGUCUGAUUUAAAUAUCAUUAAAUAUUUUUCCCUUAAUAUAAUUAUCCUGGAUCCAUUUUACAAAAAUAGAAUCACUUUUAUCCAAGUACUUUGAUACUCUUUUAAUAUUAGUUGCAGUAGUGAUAAUAGGCAGGUCUCUAAUCCCUAGACCCCCUUCUGCUUUAGGAAGGAUCAUUUGGGUCCAUGAGAUUCCUUUCCUUUCAUCCCAUAUAAAUUUAUAGGCUAAUUUUUUCACUUUCUUAGCCGCAGAAUCAAAUAUAACCAUAUCUUGUGCCUAAUAGGUAUAUUUUUCGACUAUUAUCCAAUUAACUAAUUAUAUUCACCUUCCAUAGGAAAGAUAUUUUCCACUCCAUCUUGCUAAAAGCGCUUUAUUGAUUGGAUUAAUUUUCAGCAUUGUUCAAAUGAUUUUUUUUCCCGGUGAUUGAUUGUCACAGUCUCAUAGAUAUGAUAUAGGUAAAUUUUUAACAGUAUAUCUUAAAACAUCAUGCAAAGAUUAGUCUUCUUCGUAUACUUUCGAGAAGGUGGAGGAAUUCUUAUUCGCAUUAACUUCUAAUCCUGAAAAGUUGACUUAAGUAAUGAUUUUUAACUCAAAUUAUGUAAAUCAGCACAUGUCCACAUGUCAAUCUACCUCACAAAAACUAUAAAAUUCAAUGAUGUCAAUAUCAUAGUUUGGUUAUAAAAAUCAAAUUUUGCUCGUCAGAUAAUAAGCAGAGAAAGUCACCAUGGAGAGACUGACGGAAUCUUCCAACAAUCCAAUUCACUUCGUGCUGGUUCCAUUCAUGUCUCCCGGACAUAUGAAUCCAAUGGUAGACCUGGGAAAAUUACUCGCCGAACGUGGCAUGAAUGCGACGAUCAUCACCACACCUCAAAAUGCGUUGCGGUUCAAGUCAACCGCCGACCACGCUUUGCAAACUGGACUCCCUCUGAAGUUCCACGAACUCGACGUGUUUCCUUUGAUAGAAGACGGCGGACAACAGAAGAAGUGCGACAACUUGGAUUCCUUGGUUUC
rnacentral:lncRNA from 1 species